rnacentral:rRNA from 1 species
UACGUAGGCAGCGAGCGUUGUUCGGAGUUACUGGGCGUAAAGGGUGUGUAGGCGGUUGUUUAAGUUUGGUGUGAAAUCUCCCGGCUCAACUGGGAGGGUGCGCCGAAUACUGAAUGACUUGGAGUGCGGGAGAGGAAAGUGGAAUUCCUGGUGUAGCGGUGAAAUGCGUAGAGAUCAGGAGGAACACCUGUGGUGUAGACAGCUUACUGGACGAUAACUGACGCUGAGGCACGAAAGCGUGGGUAGCAAACAGG